AAUUUUUGACAAUGGGGGCAACCCUGAUCCAGCCAUCCCGCGUGUGCGAUGAAGGCCUUCGGGGUGUCUAGCACUUUUGGCAGGGAAGAAAAGGCGCUGGAUAAUACCUGGCGCCGCUGCUGGUAUUUGCAGAAUAAGCACCGGCUAACUACGUGCCAGCAGCCGCGGUAAUACGUAGGGUGCAAGCGUUAAUCGGAAUUACUGGGCGUAAAGCGUGCGCAGGCGGUUCGGAAAGAAAGAUGUGAAAUCCCAGGGCUGAACCUUGGAACUGCAUUUUUAACUGCCGGGCUAGAGUAUGUCAGAGGGGGGUAGAAUUCCACGUGUAGCAGUGAAAUGCGUAGAGAUGUGGAGGAAUACCGAUGGCGAAGGCAGCCCCCUGGGAUAAUACUGACGCUCAGACACGAAAGCGUGGGGAGCAAACA
rnacentral:rRNA from 1 species